GAUGAACGCUGGCGGCGUGCCUAAUACAUGCAAGUCGAGCGAAUGGAUUAAGAGCUUGCUCUUAUGAAGUUAGCGGCGGACGGGUGAGUAACACGUGGGUAACCUGCCCAUAAGACUGGGAUAACUCCGGGAAACCGGGGCUAAUACCGGAUAACAUUUUGAACCGCAUGGUUCGAAAUUGAAAGGCGGCUUCGGCUGUCACUUAUGGAUGGACCCGCGUCGCAUUAGCUAGUUGGUGAGGUAACGGCUCACCAAGGCAACGAUGCGUAGCCGACCUGGGAGGGUGAUCGGCCAACCUGGGAAUGAGACACGGCCCAGACUCCUACGGGAGGCAGAAGUAGGGAAUCUUCCGCAAUGGACGAAAGUCUGACGGAGCAACGCCGCGUGAGUGAUGAAGGCUUUCGGGUCGUAAAACUCUGUUGUUAGGGAAGAACAAGUGCUAGUUGAAUAAGCUGGCACCUUGACGGUACCUAACCAGAAAGCCACGGCUAACUACGUGCCAGCCGCCGCCGUAA
rnacentral:rRNA from 1 species